UGGAGGUAAAGAGGUAUGUGACUGUAGGUGGAGGUAAAGAGGUAUGUGACUGUAGGUGGAGGUAUAGAGGUAUGUGACUGUAGGUGGAGGUAUAGAGGUAUGUGACUGUAGGUGGAGGUAUAGAGGUAUGUGACUGUAGGUGGAGGUAUAGAGGUAUGUGACUGUAGGUGGAGGUAUAGAGGUAUGGGACUGUAGGUGGAGGUAAAGAGGUAUGUGACUGUAGGUGGAGGUAAAGAGGUAUGUGACUGUAGGUGGAGGUAUAGAGGUAUGUGACUGUAGGUGGAGGUAUAGAGGUAUGUGACUGUAGGUGGAGGUAUAGAGGUAUGGGACUGUAGGUGGAGGUAAAGAGGUAUGUGACUGUAGGUGGAGGUAAAGAGGUAUCUGACUGUAGGUGGAGGUAUGUGACUGUAGGUGGAGGUAUAGAGGUAUGUGACUGUAGGUGGAGGUAUAGAGGUAUGUGACUGUAGGUGGAGGUAUAGAGGUAUGUGACUGUAGGUGGAGGUAAAGAGGUAUGUGACUGUAGGUGGAGGUAUAGAGGUAUGUGACUGUAGGUGGAGGUAUGUGACUGUAGGUGGAGGUAUGUGACUGUAGGUGGAGGUAUGUGACUGUAGGUGGAGGUAUGUGACUGUAGGUGGAGGUAAAGAGGUAUGUGACUGUAGGUGGAGGUAAAGAGGUAUGGGACUGUAGGUGGAGGUAUGUGACUGUAGGUGGAGGUAUGUGACUGUAGGUGGAGGUAUGUGACUGUAGGUGGAGGUAUAGAGGUAUGUGACUGUAGGUGGAGGUAAAGAGGUAUGUGACUGUAGGUGGAGGUAUGUGACUGUAGGUGGAGGUAUGUGACUGUA